UGGGGAAUAUUGGACAAUGGGCGCAAGCCUGAUCCAGCCAUGCCGCGUGUGUGAAGAAGGCUUUCGGGUUGUAAGGCACUUUCAGUGGGGAANAAGGCUUACCGAUCAAUACCCGGUAAGAAGGACAUCACCCACAGAAGAAGCACCGGCUAACUCCGUGCCAGCAGCCGCGGUAAUACGGAGGGUGCGAGCGUUAAUCGGAAUUACUGGGCGUAAAGCGCGCGUAGGUGGCUUGAUAAGCCGGUUGUGAAAGCCCCGGGCUCAACCUGGGAACGGCAUCCGGAACUGUCAGGCUAGAGUGCAGGAGAGGAAGGUAGAAUUCCCGGUGUAGCGGUGAAAUGCGUAGAGAUCGGGAGGAAUACCAGUGGCGAAGGCGGCCUUCUGGACUGACACUGACACUGAGGUGCGAAAGCGUGGGGAGCGAACAGGAUUAGAUACCCUGGUAGUCCACGCCGUAAACGAUGUAUGCUAGUUGUUGGCCCUUCGGGGUCAGUGACGUAGUUAAGCCGCUAAGGCUACCACCUGGGGAGUACGUUCGCAAGAAUG
rnacentral:rRNA from 1 species